CCUGCAGCUGGGAGACGAGCCCCAGCCCCAGAAGUCCCAGGUGUUCCCAUUCUGUGAUCAGCACAGAACACACACACCUCACCAUGGAGUUUGUGCUGGGCUGGGUUUUCCUGGUUGCUCUUUUAAAAGGUGUCCAGUGUGACGAACAGCUGGUGGAGUCUGGGGGAGACCUGGUGAAGCCUGGGGGGUCCCUGAGACUCACCUGUGUAGCCUCUGGAUUCAACGUCGAUAGCUAUGCAAUGAGCUGGGUCCGCCAGGCUCCAGGGAAGGGGCUGCAGUGGGUCGCAUACAUUUAUACUAUUGGAGGUGGCACAAACUACGCAGACUCCGUGAAGGGCCGAUUCACCAUCUCCAGAGACAACGCCAAGAACACGCUGUAUCUGCAGAUGAACAACCUGAAGACUGAGGACACAGCCACAUAUUACUGUGCGAGAGACACAUGGUGGCACGGAUGGAUGAGGCAAAACAGAGAAUCAGCAUUAUAGAGGACAACCUUAUAG